UUCCUCUUUGUGUUCAGAAUUAGACUAUAGGAUUUAUAUCCUUUUCAAACCAUUAAGAUCUGUCUUUGCCAACAUUUUACAUUCAAAUUCCAAUUUUUUGGAGUAGAGGUCGGUAGCCAGGCAAGAGGAUGAUAUGUACUAAUGAACAAGUGAGUAUGCAAAUUAGAGUCCCAACAGGGUAAACUAGAAACCUUUGUAGACUGGUACACCUAUUUGAGAAUAAUUUUAACACAGAAUCAAGAGAAAAAAGUCUGAUGCAUAUUAAAUGUUUCAAACUGAAUAUUGUCCGCUGUCUUGUGACUCAUCACACUGUUUCGCUCCAAUAAGGGCUGAUAAAUUAACAAGGACGUAUAACCUGCGAGGCCAGGGUAUCAGUAGUGAAGGUAAGGAGCCCUCACUGUCGCUGUGUCAGAGCUGUUUGAAUUUCAUUUUACUCCAGUCACUCAUCAUGAAAACGCAUUUAGAGUUUCUGCUUUAUUUUGCCUACCUGAAUCUGCAUGUCUUCAUUUUCUCUCUUAAUUUCAGGCAAUUUAAGUGUGUCUGAAAACCACUCUGGGGUUUGUCUGUCUCAUCUCGUCUACACAGAUCUCAUUUAAGGAGUUUUAUUGGAAAUAUGGCAGCUCUCAAAUGAAAAAUUGAUAUCCUCUCUCACUAAGUGAUGGCUGGUAUAAGGGUUCAGUUCCCUUUGAAAUGAAAUUGAAGUCUAUUUUGAGAAAACUUUGUUUGGAGGGAUUCUGAUUUCUCUUAGGGUGGACUAGUUUCAGGAUUGGAACCAACUCAAAGGGUUGUCAGGGGGACUGAUUAGCCAAUGGAAGGAGUUCCAGUCCAAUGUCUGAGUUUAACUACCUUGUAAUAAAGGUAACGACAAUGCUAUUUUAGAGAUCAUAAAAACCCAUUUCAGAAUUUAAAACUAGUAUAAUGCAAAAUUAAAAUGGAAACGAUAUUGAUAAUGAUGCUGGAAGGUAAAAGAGAAAGGUCAUGGACAGAUUCCACUAUGAGUCUGUCUUGAGAUGAAAUAUACUGAAAAUGAAGAGAUUGGCUUAACAACCCUAAUCUCCUGUAGAAGUUUAAUCCAAAGUCUUGCAGCGCUAAUGACACAUCUUCCCUGUUUGUUCUCUGGUCUGGAUUCAGAAAGCAGCAGGAGAGCAGGAUUUCAGGACCUACGGGCCUGUGACGGCCCCAUGGGGAGUUAAAAGGUCUGAAAUUUUGAUCUAGGCCAAACUACUCAGGGAUUUAGGACGCUAUGAGAAGAAAUUUAGAGUGAAGUGUAAAACUAACAGACAGACAGAGAGAAGAUGAAACGGUGGGUGCUCCAGUUUUCUGGCACCUGUUUAAAUCAUGGUGGCUGUAUUUCAGUUUAACGGCAGAUGGGGGGAAAAAGAGAGCGAUGUAAAACAAAACAAGAUGCAAUGGGAGCAAACAGGGCUUAAUUAUCAAAAAAAUGCUCAAUAUAAAAAAGGAAAAAUGAAGAUUCUGAAAAAAAUGUAGAAACCAUUGGCAGGUUUUCUACAGACUGAAAAAGUUUUUAUAACCUGCCUAAGAAACAAAAAUUGAAAAGCACAAAUUUGUCAUGUGCAAUUAUUUUGAUCACCAACAAAAAAGCCAAAAAUGAGACGCAUGCACUUUGGGUUGUCUAGAAAAGUGGCUGAUAAUUUUGGUGCCAAUUUUAUCAAAAGUUUCCUAAAAGUAUUCUGUUUAAAAAAAGUACUUUCAUCAACAAACAAACCUUAAAAACUUAACCCCAAUACUAUGACAAAUGUGUACUCAAUAUAAUCUCCAAUGAUCAUCAAUCUCUUUAUUGCUACAACACCACAGAGAGCAUUUCUUCAUCCCUUUCAUCCACUAGUGCAUUUUAUUGGUGUAUUUCAUGGCUGAGGGGUCCUAACCUUGCACAAUAGCACCUUCACUGUGAAAUACAGAGACUGAAUCACUGCUGAGACAAGCGUGUUUUCAUAGUUUCAUUCCUAUGUGGGUGAACUGCUUCCAAAGAAAUCUCACAGCUUUUUAAAAUAAGUAGUUAAACCUACUUACUCUGCUUUUCACCUUAAACCCUAGGAAGUGAAUGCUGUCAAUGGGUCUCAACGUCUGCCAGCACUUCUGCAAGCUCAAGGUAAAAACGAGAAUUAAAAAUACAGGAAUCCAAAAGAGAAAAGAGAAUACUGGCAAAUUGUAAAAGUAUUUGAGUGUGUUCCUAUUCAUUUUAGAGUUGAAUUUAAUACUUUUUCUAAAGACAGACAAGGAGAUGGAAGUAAGACAGUGGGAAAGUCAGGAAACACCAUUCAUCUUCCCCAAUCUCUCUUUUCUCCUCUCUUCUGUCAUGAAAUUGGGGGAGUAACCUGGAUGAAGCCUUUUUGUAACAUCUGUCUGACACACUAUUUUCUUUGCGUGUCUGUUUUUGUGUCACUGUUACAUGGUAUGAUGGAGGGGGGCAGUUUCAGGGUGCCAUAGCUAUUUGUUGAACUUUUCUUAAGGUGUUGUUGUCCCAACUUGACAAACUACACAUGAGGAAAGGUGCCUACAAGAUGACCCCAUCGAUGUGGUGGUUCUCACUGCGAAUCCUCAGUCCAUUGAUUACAGAGUGGUAAAGAGGAUAGUUUAAGUAAUGGCAAUACCUGGAAAAUUCGCCUGGUCAUGAUGAAGGUGACCAUUUAGUAGUCAAUGUAACUUGUCAGUGGGGUAUCCUCAUUGAGCCCAUGUCUUAUUGGUUAGGGGACAAGUACCUUGACAAUUAAUUCCCUGAAGUUACAAAUACUGAAUCCUCUUAAAGACUUUUGAAGGAUCAGUCGAUACCCUGCACAGAAACUGGGGUCUUGGAGGGUCUUUAUUUAAGUCCAUACUAAACCUUUUGCUUCAUUGAUUAUUACUGGCUGUUUGGAAAAGUCUGUCCACCUGUAAAAGUGAUAGGAAAACAUCACUGUUAUCAUUUAUUAGAUAGGGAAUAUCAAUUUUUUUACUGCAUAUAAGGUAAUGUUCUAUAUCCAACCAUGCAGACACAGUUGUGUUUAUCUACCCAUCAUGCCUCACUCUCUGCGGGGGACACACGCUCACUGUUCUUGGUCGUGUCGAAGACAUCGCUCUGCACCAUUAACUAGAAUGUCAAAAAUCAAGAGUGUGUCAUGGAGCCCGUCCUCAGCACUAUAUGCAGUUACCAGCACUCGAGCGUGGGAUUGACACUUCACACAUAUACACACACACUUCCUCUAUGGACACACACGCAGACGGCUGUCCAGGAGAGCCAGAGGUUGCAGUUGACCUUGCUCAAGCACUGACAGGUUGUUUCCCUCAGGUGUUCUGGUGUGGUUCGUCAUUCACAAGGUGGAAACUGUCGUAAUUCACCAGUCCAUCCUGUAAAGCACGUAGCUGAAGGACAGGUGGCUCUAGGCUAUAGUUACCAAUUCAUCUCAUGUCCUGCUGUGGCCUCCUGUGAGAAUUCUCUGUUCUUCAUGUUUCAUUUUCCGCUCUGUCUGUCUCCUUUCCACAAAGAAUGCACGUUUUGUUUUUGCUGCAUUGUUCUCUGUGGGUGUGAAAUAUGUGAUAAAUCCUUCGCAGUCCAGCCAUCCAUCUCUCUUACAGUGAUAAUCAAAGAUGCAUUGAAGCAGAGGACAACCUCUCUUUCACACUAUCACACACACCCCUUUUCUGCGACUUGGCUGUGAGUUGAAUUCUGUCAGCUUUUUGUGCCCUGCUCAGCUCUAAUUUUUUUUUUCAAUGUGUCCAUGCACCCACAUGGGCCCUGGCGUAGCGUCAAACCUCACCAGCCCCCUUCGCUGAGCAAAGAGGGUGACUCACAGUGAUUACGACAUUGCACGCCGCAGCAUUGCCACUAAUUCACUCACUGAGGGGUGUCCUGUAAAUCAGAUGUCCCCACGGCUCGGGCUGUGUGGCCGAGAGCGAGGCUGCAGCUGGUGGCAGCUCAAGGACCAACCGAUUGACUCAGCAGCUAGCUGUCCACACUCAGCAAAGGCAGGGCUGUCUUUAUGGUUGAACUUUGUACAUGGAUAGAUUACCUGUCUGGGAAAAGCUCACUUUGGUAUGUGAACUGACAUUGUCACGGUGAAGAGUUACUGCCUGCAAAGCCUUCCUUCAAUAUGGAGCGAUCACAAUGAAAUAUCAAGAGAUACGAAAUUUGUAGAGCUUGUAAAGUCAGCAUCUGCCCUGUACUUUGAGUUACGCUUCAAUAUGUAGAGAUUGAUUGUAGAUAAAUAGAAAAAGUAGCCAUCAUGGUUUGUUUUUCGAGCCGUAUUAGAGUGAUAGGGUAGGGCUGAAGAGGAGCAAGAUAUUUGCAAAUGCUAGGCACUACAUUUUAAUCCAAGUUGAGAUGUUGAUACGAAAUGAGAUACCCAUGUUAGUUAGCAUGUACCAGUCUUAACAAAAGAUGCAUCAAUAAAAUUACAGCCAACUUGUCAAAGUGAUCCCCAACCAAACCCAAGCUAUUUGUGUAUAAUUGGACUGUAUAAAAAUGUAAAGAACUUUGUAAAUAUGCUACUGAAUAAGAAUAAGAAUUAGAAUUUCAUCCAACUAAACCUCCUGGACCCAGUCCUUGCAUCACUUAAGUGUCUACCUUUACUGUUAUCUUGCUAAAAGUGACUCAAUCACAGUCAAAAUAAGAUAACUCAAGAUAUCUCACAUUUUUGUGGUUCAUCCUGUACAGAUGAAGUUUGAGUUUGCCCUUGACUUCUCCUCUGCGGUUCUUUUACAGACACAUUGCAUUGCUAUUGCUGCAUUUUAUAUUAAAUCUUGAACGAGAAAUAUGUGAUUUGUGGUGCUCCUUUAGGUAUCUUUGCAGGAGCUGUAGCUGACUAUAUGAACGCCCAUACAGGCGAACACACAAGCAGCCUUUUCUCAACGCUGAAUAAAUUAUCGGCACCUUUUACUGCCGCUUUUCUCAAAUGCUGAGACACAUUUCUUGAAACUUUCUACCCUUUUAUCGAAAGUGUGAGCACAAAACCUUACCUUCAAUCCAUGCUUAUAAAACCUGAUUUUAUUGGCAAAUUGAACAAUCACAUCAAAACAGUUUUAUCUCUGCUUUGAACCAAACACUGUUUUCACAUCAAAACACAGAGCAGUCAGAGUAAAAACAGUACAAUAUAGGGGAGACCGAGGCUUGUUGUCACACUUUUUACACUUUUAUAUAGUACUUAGAAUCAAAACAUCAUAUGUAAACAAAAUGUGUACCACGCAAAAGACCAAAGUCUCAGGUAUAUAUUAGCUAUUCAUGUAGAUCUUAUAUCUCAUGUCAGUAAGCAAUCAAACAGAGACUGUGAACAUGUGACAUGUUGCCCCACCAUCGGGUAAGUUGUCUCCCUACAUGGGGUAAGAUGUCACAGUGGAUUUUGCAGCUAAUAAAACAAGGACAUAAUUAUUGUUGUUCUCAUUUUUUUACAUGAAAGUGAACAUCAAAGUCAGGCACAGAAAAUGUUUAUCAUUGAGAAAGAAAAAGUCAUUAAACAAACGUUAACUAAGUUAUUAUUAACAUGCACUGAAGUUUGGAGAGCUAUCUGACUCUGUAUUUGGACUGGGGUGAAUGUUUUGCAGUACUGAGCCAAGGUAUGGUAGUUGGCAUUAAAGUCCUUUAUUGUCCUCCAGUAUCAUUUAUGAGCUCGGGUCACCUGCCUGACUGUCCUCAGCAUCACGUCAGGAACUGCACUGCCACGUUCUGUUUUUCUUUUGUCAAUCCUGACCAUGUUUUCUUGCUUUCUCCUCUCCUUUAAACCACUUUUUUUUCUGUAAAGAUAAGUUCAAAAUUUCAUUAUGACAAGUGCUGAUAAGCAGUCUCUCUACCUUAAUUUGAAUCCCUUUUAAACAUGACAACUAACCCCAAAAUGACUGAGACAUGUUGCCCCAAAUUUCCAUGCCUGCUAAUUCUAGCUCUAGCUUAAAGUUAGCUUAAAACAGAACAAUGACUGAGCUAUGACAGGAUGCCUUCAUCUGUCCUCUAACAAGUCCACAUGUAUCACUGCUAGGAUUUUUAUCUGGAAGAAGCUUAUUUUAAAAUAUAUAAGGUUAAUUUUUUUACUUUAGGUUGUGCGAAAUGAUUUAUUGGCACUCAUCUCAGCUCACAAUGUACUCUUCUCUUCUCAGACAGGACACAACCCCUGACCAUGUAAAGGAAGAAAACUAGUAUUCCACUUUUUAGUUGCGCCCUCUGGUGGCGAAGAUAAUUGCAAUGUGACAACUUACCCAUGUGACAACAAGCCUCGGUCUCCCCUACUGUAUCUGUGGAUUGAAAAUUAGAGGGGAGCAAAGUUUCUAAGAUUUAUUCUGUGGGCAUCAUGGGUACCCGGGGUGUAACUGAUGACAGAAUACAACUAGUUAUGAUCCUCUACUAAAAUAUUCAUGAUCUAGUCUAGACUAGUGCUGUCUUAAGUUUCCUGGAGCCAGGAUGGAAACAUGCUUACUUGAUAAUCAGCAGCAGCAUCUUUCUAGAAAUCAUUCAACAGCUUUGUAUGUCCACAAACCUUCCUUUUGGACAGUUUGAUGUCUUUGAACAUAUUUUUUUAAGACCUGCAGACUUCCUUGUGCUUUAAAUGGUCCAUAUUAGUGAAAUAUAUUCUUGUACUCCCCUCUCAUGCUACCAAAGCUAGAGACUGAAGUUUGAGAUGGAUUUGCAGAUCUCCUUCACCUUUGUCACUUGCAUCUCCAAAAGUUUGCAGGUCAGUCAGGUUUGUAGCCCACACACAGCCCAAAGUCAGCGAUCUAGCAGCAGGAGAUGUGUCCUCUCUGAGGUUUCUAACAAAUUACACCCUUCACUUGUGGAGAACGCCAAGUGAGUUCUUGGCUGGGGUUGUGGUUUUUGGUCCAGGGCGAAAGGGAAAAGUGAUCUGAGAGUGGAAGAAUUGCUCCUGAAAUCAAAGUGGCACCUAAAAUUCAGCAGUGUGUCUGCACUGAAAAAGAAGACAAAGCGCUCGUGUCAGGAUCAAAGAAAGGAAGGAAUGUUUUCUGCAUACACCUGGAGAUUAAUGUGAUAGACGGUGUCCUUCUUGGCACACAUAGCUCAUACUGCUUUUGAUAAAAGAGAGUGCAUCUGAUAAGACUAUUCAGUUUGGUGCUGCAACCAUUUAUAACGUAAAUUUACUGGUGAUGUAGGUAAUAAAGAGUAGUUUACUAAUGGAGGUAGCAUCCAAAAAUGACCAGGAAAUCCCUCUCUAAUGUCUCUUUCUUUUACAGUCAUUCAAAUUAUUGAUCUGCGCAUAAUUUUCCUUUACAAGGGUUUGAUUUAAGUCUUUUUCUUUACUUAUUCUGAGCUUUCGUGAAUUAGUUCAGAGUAUUCUGUGGAGUUUUUGCAAACGGUUAUUCAACAUUCAGUAUUUUCUAUUAAAGUUUGUCACUAUCCUUGAGGCAAUAAUGCUCUGUCGACUGCAUUACUCAAUUCAAACAUAACAGAAAACAGCACACCAUUCUUCUUACAAGAAAUGUAGCUGUAAGAGUUUCAAAAUGGAACAAAAAUGCACGUCAUGUUGGGUCACAUGAAUGGAGUAUGCAGGCAUUGAAAAUAACUCAUUACUUUUACUCAUGUUGCUGUAAUUGGGUAGUUUUUGUCUAUAUUACUUUUCUGCGUAGUUUUUUUCAAAAUCAGCACUUUUAUUUUUACUUUUAUUUAAAUAGAAUGUAAUUAAUGUCAGUACCUUUCUCGGUAUUAGUUGUCUUUUCUUUUUAUGUACAGUGCUUUGUGUUACAUUGUUGUAUAACAAGUGCUUUACAAAUCAAGUCUGAGUCUGAAUGAAAUUAUAACUUCUGGAAAGGAGCUGGAAAAUGUUUAACCACAUUUUAUGUAGCAUCUUUUAUUGAUGGUCAACAGCCAAAGUUCCCCAGGGGAGCUAUAAGUAAAGCCCAUUAAAACAAGUAUUACUUGAGUAAAAUACAUCAAAACUUGAUUUAUUCCUGGGAUGACACCCAUUACCGAGUUCAUACAGGCAACUCAAGCUGCACUGAUUUCACAUUUGACAUUGCAUCCACAAUCACCUGAAAAACUAUCUUCUUCGUUUGGUGGUCUAUUUCAUCCACAGGAUUUCUUGUCUCUCCCUCUUCUAUGCCAUCACCACUUCUGCCCUACAUCAGUACAGGGCUCAUACUUUUGGCUCUACCACUUCCUCCACAUUAAUCUGCAGCCUUCAACUAUAGGAGCUUUAUGAUAUUACCUCAUCACCUCUGUCAAAUAAAACAGCAUUCCACAGAGUUAAACCAACUAACAUUCAUAAUUUAUUUGUCCAAUACAGUUGUAAUGAACUGUUAAAUGUUCAAAUUGACUCUUUUUUUGUCUCGUUCAUGUUCUCUUUAUAGCUUGAAAAUGGGUUAAGGUCAGGACAAGAAGACAUCUUGUAUCUCCAUUGUUCCAGUUAACCUUCAAAGUGUGUAAAAGGC